UACGUAGGGGGCAAGCGUUGUCCGGAUUUAUUGGGCGUAAAGAGCUCGUAGGCGGUUUGGUAAGUCGGGUGUGAAAUCUCCACGCUCAACGUGGAGGGGCCACUCGAUACUGCCAUGACUCGAGUCCGGUAGAGGAGUGUGGAAUUCCCGGUGUAGCGGUGAAAUGCGCAGAUAUCGGGAGGAACACCCGUGGCGAAGGCGGCUCUCUGGGACGGUACUGACGCUGAGACGCGAAAGCGUGGGGAGCGAACAGG
rnacentral:rRNA from 1 species